GACGUAGGGCGCGAGCGUUGUCCGGAUUUAUUGGGCGUAAAGAGCUCGUAGGCGGUCUGUCGCGUCGGCUGUGAAAACCCGGAGCUCAACUCCGGGCCUGCAGUCGAUACGGGCAGACUGGAGUUCGGCAGGGGAGACUGGAAUUCCUGGUGUAGCGGUGAAAUGCGCAGAUAUCAGGAGGAACACCGGUGGCGAAGGCGGGUCUCUGGGCCGAUACUGACGCUGAGGAGCGAAAGCGUGGGGAGCAAACAGG
rnacentral:rRNA from 1 species